UACGGAGGGGGCUAGCGUUGUUCGGAAUUACUGGGCGUAAAGCGCGCGUAGGCGGACCUGCAAGUCGGGGGUGAAAUCCCGGGGCUCAACCCCGGAACUGCCUUCAAAACUCCCAGUCUGGAGGUCGAGAGAGGUGAGUGGAAUUCCGAGUGUAGAGGUGAAAUUCGUAGAUAUUCGGAGGAACACCAGUGGCGAAGGCGGCUCACUGGGACGGUACUGACGCUGAGACGCGAAAGCGUGGGGAGCAAACAGG
rnacentral:rRNA from 1 species